GUGCCUCAAUCUAUUGAGUAAGGAAAUUAUUGGGCCCACUUAAUACUGGGCAAUGUCCUAAACUAGGGCGAACGUAUUUUUGAGGGGUACAGGUCGUCCCCUUGAGUCGCGGGCCUACUUUGCACGCGAUUCGGGUGAAGCGAUCUGCCCU
rnacentral:snRNA from 1 species